GAUUUUUCUUUACAAUAAACUCACCUCUUGCCACGUGAAUGUGGCACGUGACCGGUCAAUCAGUCACAGGUGUGCCGCGUGGCAAUUAGCAGCUCUGUGAAAAUUACGGGUGAAUAUUAGCUUACUUUAAUACCUUUUUAAUGAAAUAAAUCAUAAUUUACUCGGAAGAAGAGCACAUUUGUCGACGCAGACUGACUUGGAGAAGUUCUGUUCUUGUGGAAAUGUGAUGUGUUGCAGCCACGCUCUGGUGCACAAACCAACUCCACAGAAGAAGCACACACAGGACUUGGGCUGCAUGGCUGCUGAGGGACAGAAGUGAUUGAUGAAGACUUACUGGCGUGCCGAUCAAUCUUAAAUUAUAUGAAGGUCAAACAGAAAUCGAAGCAAAUCUGGCCUGGAGAUAUUUGAGGAUGAAUGGAGUGUGUGAGUGCCAGGCGAGGACAACAAACCGGAGAUCCUGCAGAGAAUUCUUCUGGGAAAACAUAA